rnacentral:rRNA from 1 species
CCCUAGUAACGGCGAGUGAAGAGGGAAGAGCCCAAGAUUGAAAGCUGGCGUCUUCGGCGUCCGCAUUGUAAUCUCAAGAAGUGUUUUCCGCUUCGGACCAAGCCUAAGUCCCCUGGAAAGGGGCAUCAUAGAGGGUGAUAAUCCCGUACAUGGCUUGGAGCGCCCGAGGCUUUGUGAUACGCUUUCUAAGAGUCGAGUUGUUUGGGAAUGCAGCUCAAAAUGGGUGGUAAAUGCCAUCUAAGGCUAAAUAUUGGGGAGAGACCGAUAGCGAACAAGUACAGUGAUGGAAAGAUGAAAAGAACUUUGAAAAGAGAGUUAAACAGUACGUGAAAUUGCCAAAAGGGAAGGGUAGGAGGUCAGAGAUGCGGCCUGGGAUUCAGCCUUGCUUUUGCUUGGUGUUUUUCCCAGAUUGCAGGCCAACGUCGGUUUUGGGCACUGGAGAAGGGUAGGAGGAACGUGGCACCCCUCGGGGUGUGUUAUAGCCUCCUACUGGAUACAGCGACCGAGACCGAGGACAGCAGCGUACUCGCAAGAGCGGGCCUUCGGGCACCUUUACGCUUAGGGCGU